UAUUUCUCCCACUUUCUGAUGCAUGAUAAACUUCCUAAUGUCAAGUCUCUUCGCUUUAAGACAUUUUCGACUCCUUUUUCUUUUUUAUAGCCUCAUUGAGCUUGCUUAGAUUUCCAUGACCCCAUUCGCUCAUUGUGUGAUCAUAAAAGAGCAUUAUGCAUUUUGUGAAAAAAGGGUUUUAAGAACAUGUGCGAACGAACGGUGCCUUUCCGAGUGCAAGCAAGAUGAUGAUCAUCUUCUGUUUCGAGGUUUCCGGGCUGUAGUCAAUACGGACGUACUCGAUCGAGUGCAGAAUUAACGUACGUACGGGGUGAUAGAUCUAUUGCAUAUAUGCAAAAUAGUGGCAUGGAAAGUCUACUAAAUCUGAUCGUUAACCCUCUUGGGGUCAUUUUGGUUGAAACUGGAAGACAUGAUUGCAGACUCCCAGCCAGCACCAAGUCCAAAACUCGAU